AUUGAACGCUAGCGGGACGCUUUACACAUGCAAGUCGAACAGCAGCGCGGACUUCGGUCUGGCGGCGAGUGGCGAACGGGUGAGUAAUGUAUCGGAACGUGCCCAGUAGCGGGGGAUAACUACGCGAAAGCGUAGCUAAUACCGCAUACGCCCUACGGGGGAAAGCAGGGGAUCGUAAGACCUUGCACUAUUGGAGCGGCCGAUAUCGGAUUAGCUAGUUGGUGAGGUAACGGCUCACCAAGGCGACGAUCCGUAGCUGGUUUGAGAGGACGACCAGCCACACUGGGACUGAGACACGGCCCAGACUCCUACGGGAGGCAGCAGUGGGGAAUUUUGGACAAUGGGGGCAACCCUGAUCCAGCCAUCCCGCGUGUGCGAUGAAGGCCUUCGGGUUGUAAAGCACUUUUGGCAGGAAAGAAACGUCGCGGGCUAAUACCCCGUGGAACUGACGGUACCUGCAGAAUAAGCACCGGCUAACUACGUG
rnacentral:rRNA from 1 species